rnacentral:rRNA from 1 species
UACAGAGGGUGCGAGCGUUAAUCGGAAUUACUGGACGUAAAGCGCGCGUAGGCGGCUUUGCAAGUCGGGUGUGAAAAUCCCCCAGGCUUAACCUGGGGAACUGCAUUCGAGACUGCAUUGCUAGAGUAUGGGAGAGGGAAGUGGAAUUUCCGGUGUAGCGGUGAAAUGCGUAGAUAUCUGGAGGAAUACCGGUGGCGAAGGCGGCGAUCCUGGACCGGGAUUGGACGCCUGAGGAGCGAAAGCCAGGGGGAGCAAACGGG